GCAGAUGUUGCAGUGAGCGGAGAUCCUGCCACUGCACUUCAGCCUGGGUGACAGAGUGAGAUUUCGUCUAAAAAAAAAAAAAGUACUUGUUACUAUGUUAACAGUUGUUAUCACUACUAUUAUUAUUUUGAGAUGGAGUCUCACUGUGUGUCCCAGGAUGGAGUGCAGUGGUGCAGUCUCGGCUCACUGUAACCUCCACCUCCUGGGUUCAAGUGAUUCCAGCGCCCCGAGUAACUGGGAUUACAGGCAUGCACCACCAUGCCUGGGUAACUUUUGUAUUUUUAGUAGAGACAGGGUUUCGCCAUGUUAGCCAGGCUGGUCUCAAACUCCCGACUUCAAGUGAUCCACCUGCCUCUACCUCCCAAAGUGCUGGGAUUCCAGGUGUGAGCCACCGCACCUGGCCUACAUUAUCACUACUAUUUUAUUACUAUCCACCUUGACUAUUGCUGCAGCUUCCUUAUUGGGCUUUUCACCACCAGUCUUGCCUCCCUUUUCUGCUUCUUUUUCUAACUGCCAUUUGUACCCAGAUCCCCACCAUGAUGACUUGUACCUCAAUGCCAGCAGCUUCCUGGCCCUGAUCAAUGGGGAAAGAGACCAUCCCAAUGCCACAGUAUGGCGGAAGAACUUCCUUCGUGUGGGCCACCUGGUGCUGAUUGGGGGCCCUGAUGAUGGUGUUAUUACUCCCUGGCAGUCCAGCUUCUUUGGUUUCUAUGAUGCAAAUGAGACCGUCCUGGAGAUGGAGGAGCAACUGCCUGCCAGGCCCACCCACCAGUCUGAGCUGCUUCUGCUGAGGCUGGUCUGCCUGAAGCCUCCCAGGAGAAAGAAGCCAGCCUGUAGGGUCCAGCGUCAAAGCGAAUCAUGGGGUCCAGGGCUGAGCUGUGCACUCUCUUAGGCGGAUUCUCCUUCCUCCUGCUACUGAUAUCAGGCGAGGGGGCCAAGGGUGGA
rnacentral:sRNA from 1 species